rnacentral:rRNA from 1 species
GAUGAACGCUAGCGGCAGGCCUAAUACAUGCAAGUCGAACGGGAUCCAGAUCAAAGCUUGCUUUGGUCUGGUGAGAGUGGCGCACGGGUGCGUAACGCGUGAGCAACCUACCCUUGUCAGGGGGAUAGCCCGGCGAAAGUCGGAUUAAUACCGCAUGACAUCAUUGAGAGGCAUCUUUCGAUGAUCAAAGAUUUAUCGGACAAGGAUGGGCUCGCGUGACAUUAGCUAGUUGGUAAGGUAACGGCUUACCAAGGCUGCGAUGUCUAGGGGCUCUGAGAGGAGUAUCCCCCACACUGGUACUGAGACACGGACCAGACUCCUACGGGAGGCAGCAGUAAGGAAUAUGGGUCAAUGGACGGAAGUCUGAACCAGCCAUGCCGCGUGCAGGAGGACGGCCCUAUGGGUUGUAAACUGCUUUUAUACGGGAACAAACGUCGGUACGUGUACCGGUCUGAGUGUACCGUAAGAAUAAGGAUCGGCUAACUCCGUG